rnacentral:rRNA from 1 species
CUGGCUCAGGACGAACGCUGGCGGCGUGCCUAACACAUGCAAGUCGAGCGAUUCAGAGGUCGGAAAUCGACUUCCGACUUCUGAUCUCUGGAUAGCGGCGGACGGGUGAGUAACGCGUGGGCAACCUACCCUUAAGACCGGGAUAACACCUCGAAAGGGGUGCUAAUACUGGAUAAGCUCCUUGUAGGGCAUCCUAUGGGGAGGGAAGGUAGCGGAAGCUACCGCUUAAGGAUGGGCCCGCGUCCCAUCAGCUAGUUGGUAGGGUAACGGCCUACCAAGGCGACGACGGGUAGCUGGUCUGAGAGGACGAUCAGCCACACUGGGACUGAGACACGGCCCAGACUCCUACGGGAGGCAGCAGUGGGGAAUAUUGGACAAUGGGCGAAAGCCUGAUCCAGCAAUGCCGCGUGAGUGAUGAAGGCCUUAGGGUUGUAAAGCUCUUUUACCCGGGAUGAUAAUGACAGUACCGGGAGAAUAAGCCCCGGCUAACUCCGUGCCAGCAGCCGCGGUAAUACGGAGGGGGCUAGCGUUGUUCGGAAUUACUGGG